UACGAAGGGUGCAAACGUUGCUCGGAAUUAUUGGGCGUAAAGCGCACGUAGGCGGCUUAGCAAGUUGGAUGUGAAAUCCCUCGGCUCAACCAAGGAAGUGCAUCCAAAACUGCUGAGCUUGAGUACUUAAGAGGAUCGCGGAAUUCCCGGUGUAGAGGUGAAAUUCGUAGAUAUCAGGAGGAACACCGGUGGCGAAGGCGCACAUCUGGCCCGAUACUGACGCUGAGGCGCGAAAGCUAGGGGAGCAAACGGG
rnacentral:rRNA from 1 species